rnacentral:rRNA from 1 species
UACGGGGGGGGCAAGCGUUGUUCGGAAUUACUGGGCGUAAAGGGCUCGUAGGUGGCCAACUAAGUCAGACGUGAAAUCCCUCGGCUUAACCGGGGAACUGCGUCUGAUACUGGAUGGCUUGAGGUUGGGAGAGGGAUGCGGAAUUCCAGGUGUAGCGGUGAAAUGCGUAGAUAUCUGGAGGAACACCGGUGGCGAAGGCGGGUCUCUGGACAGUUCCUGACACUGAGACACGAAGGCCAGGGGAGCAAACGGG